CCUACGGGCGGCAGCAGUGAGGAAUAUUGGUCAAUGGACGCUGGCCUGAACCAGCCAAGUAGCGUGAAGGAUGACUGCCCUAUGGGUUGUAAACUUCUUUUAUAUAGGAAUAAAAUGCGGUACGUGUGCUGUUUUGCAUGUACCUUAUGAAUAAGGAUCGGCUAACUCCGUGCCAGCAGCCGCGGUAAUACGGAGGAUCCGAGCGUUAUCCGGAUUUAUUGGGUUUAAAGGGUGCGUAGGUGGGUUGUUAAGUCAGUUGUUAAAGUUUGCGGCUCAACCGUAAAACUGCAAUUGAUACUGGCAGUCUUGAGUACAGUUGAGGUAGGCGGAAUUCGUGGUGUAGCGGUGAAAUGCAUAGAUAUCACGAAGAACUCCGAUUGCGAAGGCAGCUUACU
rnacentral:rRNA from 1 species